rnacentral:rRNA from 1 species
UACGUAGGGUGCAAGCGUUGUCCGGAAUUAUUGGGCGUAAAGAGCUCGUAGGCGGUUUGUCGCGUCUGCUGUGAAAACCCGAGGCUCAACCUCGGGCCUGCGGUGGGUACGGGCAGACUAGAGUGUGGUAGGGGAGACUGGAAUUCCUGGUGUAGCGGUGAAAUGCGCAGAUAUCAGGAGGAACACCGAUGGCGAAGGCAGGUCUCUGGGCCACUACUGACGCUGAGAAGCGAAAGCAUGGGGAGCGAACAGG